CUCGUUACCCGCUGCCGCAGGGAGAGCGGCCACCUCCCCGCCAUCCCUAAGCGUCUGUCAACCACGGUUUUUUUCGACCCAGCCAUGUGCAGCAUCCACGCAGCUGCAAGAGAAGUCAGUGAUCUGAGGGCGCAGAAGGAAGGCCGCGGCUCCCACAGGUUUGCAACGUCCUCUACAAGAUGGGCCAGAAAUUUCACCUGGUUCUAGAGGAAAUUGAUGAUUGAGCUGAGAGAGGAAAAGGGCUCCUGUGAGAGAGCCUGAGAGGCUGGAGUAGAGCUAGCCACCUCCAUCCUCGGCUCAGAGCAAGGGCUGGCGUCUCAGCCGAUCUGGCUGCAGUUACUCAGUGGUCCUGUGACCUGGGGAACAAGCUGACCACAGACGAGAAACACGCCUACAAGGUAUCCAUCACAGCUGACAGAAGAAUGGAACAGUGUGAUGCCUGGAGCCCGGCAUGCCUGGAGACCAACAUCCCUGGACCUCUCCUCACUGCCCAUUUUCCCUAUAUAACUGCCUCAAGAUUCUGUAAACCUGGAAGAUGGGUCUUUGAGACAUUAGUCACCCAUCUUCCGAUUAGCCAGCUAAUCUAAUUAAACUUUCUUUCUCGA
ensembl:lncRNA